UGGGUUCGGGCUGCACGGGCCUCGGUCAGGUGCAGGUCGGCUCAUCAUUGCGCUGCUGCCUCGGUGGCAGCGCUGUUUACCUUGAAAAAAUCAGAGUGUUCAAAGCAGGCGGUUUGCUUGAAUACAUUAGCAUGGAAUAAUAGAAUAGGACGUGCGGUUCUAUUUUGUUGGUUUCUAGAGUCGCCGUA
rnacentral:rRNA from 1 species